ensembl:lncRNA
AUGGUUACACGAAGUGUUAUUCUGAUUACAGGAGGUGGAAAAGGUUUGGACACUGAGACUUGCGUUUCAACUAGCCAGCGAGCUCUUCCAACAAAACCUAACUCUUGUGAAAUGGAAUUCCAUCAAACUCAGGGACCUUCAAGACCUUCUUGCUCGACAAUAUAUGACCUAUUCGGAAUGUGUCAGAGACAUGCGUCUGCGUCAAAACCUUCCAAUUGGUGAUAUGGUUAAGAACUACUUCAAACAGCUGGACGACUUUCUUUCACGUGAGGUAAAGAAUCUUAUAGGUUGCGUUUUACUGAGAGGGCUGGAGUGGGCCUAGCCUAUACCUAUGUUGUAUAAUGUAUUAUUUUCACCUAAUACAUAUUUGUUGGUCGUUUUUGUAUUUUAGAGUUUCAGCUUGUGCUCAUGGGAGGUCGUGAGAACUGAAAUGGGGAGCAUCCUGAGGGAUUUUUACAAGAAAUCAAAAAUGCCAAGAAAACACGUGUGAGAGUAUCAUUACUUUUAGUUAAUUUCUGCAAAACGUGUAAUUUUUUUGUAUGUUAUUUCUCCGUGUUGCAAAUAAUUUCAAUGUAGGUUAUAGUAUUUAAAUGAAGAUGCAAACAGACUUACAUUGGUUGAAAUUGCGCUCGCAAUUUUGUAAAAUUCUGUGGUGUGAUGCAACCUUGAAAUACGAGUUUUUCGUUGAAAUGUUUUCCUAAAUGAGAAAUUAUUCCUACUAACAAUUGCAUAUCAACAUCAUCUUCAAUGAAAAACAAUAAACUCCUUAAUUAACAAUACUCUGAAUUCCAGCCAUACUUUCCUGCCCUUUAAGACAUCAUCAAAUCACUGUAAAGCAUUGUUGAUUCGGAUAGUUGUUAAUACUAUCAGGUACACAUUUACUGGAUAUCAUGCAACAUAAUUAUAACUCCACAUUCUAAAUGUUAGUUCAAUGGAAUAUAGCAAUCGCUAACCGUGCUGUUACUCGUCAGUCUCUACAGUGGAAAGAUAAUAGAUGCAGAGGUAACAUCAACUCACAUAUCUGGAUAAAAGUCCAAUAAAACACACGAAUGUGGAAUACUUGACAAAUGAUCUACGUGACAGACCUAUAUUUUACUCACAAGUGCGUGUAGGCCCAGAUUCAAAAGCACCCGAAAUAUAGACUCCAAUUUAAGCACUAAUGCCAAGGUAAGGGGUAUGGCCAACGUCUAUACUGCCUGUGCACUGCAUAGGCUACCAGUGUUUUAUUCUGAAAACAGGGAGCAUAAUGGUGCGGGUCUACCAAAAUUAUUCAGUCCACUUAAACCCGUUUUUAAAACGAAAUAAAUGAAUGUUGAGUGUGUAAUUGAUAGAACCCAUACAAGGUUGAUCUGUAUCUUUAAAUAGGCAGUUGAGGUCUAAAUACCACAAUUACCCUUUGAGCAGGUGGUUACAACCUAGUUGGCACCAUAGUUUCUGUGCGCAAAUGAAAAGGUGUUGCGUUUAUUUCUUCUAUUAAAAGCAAUCCUGAAUGAAAGGACAAUAUUUAAUGAUAAAAUAGCCAAAAAAAUCCAGAUGUAACAAUUAUUCGAGAGAUGCAGCUGUCCUUUCCCUGCAUUUUCUCCAAACGAAGAACAACACUCUCAGGUAUGAAAGUGUAAGGGAACUUCCAUCUUUCACUUUUGGAAUACCUUGCAGACUCUUUGUAUGAAGGG